GACGAACGCUGGCGGCGUGCUUAACACAUGCCAGUCGAACGAAAAGAGGGAAAGAGCUUGCUCUUUCCGGAAUUGAGUGGCAAACGGGUGAGUAACACGUAAACAACCUGCCUUCAGGAUGGGGACAACAGACGGAAACGACUGCUAAUACCGAAUAAGUUCCAAGAGCCGCAUGGCCCAUGGAAGAAAAGGUGGCCUCUACCUGUAAGCUAUCGCCUGAAGAGGGGUUUGCGUCUGAUUAGCUGGUUGGAGGGGUAACGGCCCACCAAGGCGACGAUCAGUAGCCGGUCUGAGAGGAUGAACGGCCACACUGGAACUGAGACACGGUCCAGACUCCUACGGGAGGCAGCAGUGGGGAAUCUUCCGCAAUGGGCGAAAGCCUGACGGAGCAACGCCGCGUGAGUGAUGACGGCCUUCGGGUUGUAAAACUCUGUGAUCCGGGACGAAAAGGCAGAGUGCGAAGAACAAACUGCAUUGACGGUACCGGAAAAGCAAGCCACGGCUAAUUACGUG
rnacentral:rRNA from 1 species